rnacentral:misc_RNA from 1 species
GUAGGUGAACCUGCGGAAGGAUCAUUAAAGAACGCCCCGUUUUUUGAAAUGGGUAACUUCUAAACCGUGUUUACAUACCUUUGUUGCUUUGGCAGGCCGCCUCUCGAGGCGUCGGCUCCGGCUGACUGCGCCUGCCAGAGGACCCAAACUCUUUUGUUUAGUAAUGUCUGAGUACUAUAUAAUAGUUAAAACUUUCAACAACGGAUCUCGUGGUUCUGGCAUCGAUGAAGAACGCAGCAUCUGACUGACU